rnacentral:lncRNA from 1 species
UCCUGCCUUCCCUCCUUCUUCCAUGGGUCCGUCUGUCCAUCAGCAGGUCUGGGCUCUGGUGUGUCGGUGGCUAAGGGUUCCCAGGCAGGCUGCUCCUAAAUAUGGGCCAGCAGGCGGCCAGGAGACCGACUCAUGCCCUGCAGGUCUUGGCUCCAGGAAGACGAACCCAGAGUCGUACAGUAACAGCAGCUGGCUGCAGGGGGUCGAGCCCAAGUGACUCACCCCCAACUUCCGUGGACCUCCACAGAUUCCACAUUAGCAGCGUAGGACUGUAGUAUUGUGCGUUGGAGAGCUCUUGGAGAGAGUCCAGCCCAGGCCCCCGUGGACGGCAUCUCCAGUGAGCCCCCUUGACACUCAGGAUGUGAGAAAGCAGCCUGCUGAGACGUUCUGUGCAUCACCUCCUGUGUCCCUCUGUCCUGCAGCACAAGGCCGGUCCCUCCCAUAAGGGACAGAGCAUCACACAUUUGAAGGCAGCACCUCAUGCCUGCGGUGGCUGUUCUAGAAGCUGCCCUGGUUCCUUCAGUCAUUCCAUGUACCCUGCUGAAGUCUGUUUGCUUUGCCGUGGUCAGCGUUGACAUUACCCAGCGGAAAAAACGAUGUGAUUCAGAAGUUACUAAAGUGGUGUCUGUAUAAGCCUCAUGAUCAGUUCAGUAAUGACAGAACUGGCAGUGCACCUAUUUCAAGUGUAUGGUUAGGUUCCCCUGGAGUUCCAAUGUAGAGAAGAACACUGGGGGCCCCUUGAACGACUUACCUUCAUGAUGCCCGUUUGCCGAGGGGUCAGGGUCUGUGUCAGCCAGCGUUCAGGAGUGAGGUGUGGGUCACACAUGCAUCAGACAACGGCCAUUUGCUGAGUGCUAAGGAACCUGGGCACCAUGUGGUUUGAGAUUAUUAUGGGCCAAGAUGUUUUAGGGAGAGGGUGAGUUUCAAUUACACUGAAAGUCACCUUCUGAGGAUGUUUCAGGUGUUUAAAAACAUAAAAUCCCAUUAGCCAGGGAAGAUUGUAGGUUUCUUUGAUUUUAACAAUAAAAUAUUUUUUGAGGGGACACC